AUUGAACGCUGGCGGCAUGCCUUACACAUGCAAGUCGAACGGUAACAGGUCUUCGGAUGCUGACGAGUGGCGAACGGGUGAGUAAUACAUCGGAACGUGCCCGAGAGUGGGGGAUAACGAGGCGAAAGCUUUGCUAAUACCGCAUACGAUCCCAGGAUGAAAGCAGGGGACCGCAAGGCCUUGCGCUCACGGAGCGGCCGAUGGCAGAUUAGGUAGUUGGUGGGAUAAAAGCUUACCAAGCCGACGAUCUGUAGCUGGUCUGAGAGGACGACCAGCCACACUGGGACUGAGACACGGCCCCGAGUCCUACGGGAGGCAGCAGUGGGGAAUUUUGGACAAUGGGCGCAAGCCUGAUCCAGCCAUGCCGCGUGCGGGAUGAAGGCCUUCGGGUUGUAAACUGCUUUUGUACGGAACGAAAAGACUCUGGUUAAUACCUGGGGUCCAUGACGGUACCGUAAGAAUAAGCACCGGCUAACUACGUGCCAGCAGCCGCAGUAACAC
rnacentral:rRNA from 1 species